AUUUUUGAGAGUUUGAUCCUGGCUCAGGACGAACGCUGGCGGCGUGCCUAACACAUGCAAGUCGAACGGAGUUAAGCUCUUCGGAACUUGACUUAGUGGCGAACGGGUGAGUAACGCGUGAGGAACCUGCCUUUCAGUGGGGGACAACAGUUGGAAACGACUGCUAAUACCGCAUGACACUUUUGGGAGAC
rnacentral:rRNA from 1 species